GUCCGGAUAGCGCAGUGGUUACGCACUUGCCUAGUAAGCAGGAGAUCCCGGGUUCGAGUCCCGGCCCGGUACA
rnacentral:tRNA from 1 species